rnacentral:tRNA from 1 species
GCGCGAGUGGUGGAAUAGGCAGACACGCAGGAUUUAGGUUCCUGUGCCGGUGAGGCGUGCGGGUUCAAGUCCCGCCUCGCGCA